GGUGAGGGCAGGGCCAGGACCCGGUGCAGGCGGUGUGGCCCCCACGGACUGAGCAGCCAGGAGGGCCUGUGGCAGGGGAAGUAGGUUCCUGUCGUGUAGAUGCCCCUCUCUGAUGAGCAGGAGGUCUUGGGGUGAUGACAACGCAGUGAGAACUGGCCUUGAGCUGCUGGAGAGUCUGGAGGUGGUGGCAGGAAAUGGGACCAGAAGGGGCGCCAGCCUCAGGCUCUGGGAGGAAAAGGAAAGCAGAUGAAGGAGGAAGACCAUGUAAGGGAGUCCUGGGGCCGCCGCAAGGGGUACUGGGGACCAGCUGAGAAGGACGGGAAGUGAGUCUGCCCCGGCCCUGGACCCUCACCGUGUCCCGGAUCAGCUUUCCACAAGCCGUCUGAGCCUGUUUGCACCUCUCGCCAGGGUGAGCACAGAGGCCACUCCAAGAUCCCUCUCUGUGGCGGACACUGGGCUGGGCGCUGGCAAGACAGACCUAAAAGUGACAGAGGUGCUCGAGUCAAGGUGAAUGUAUAUGAUUCAUCGUGCAAACGGGGACAUGUGUGAAGGGAAGUCUACUAAUAAUUAUGGUGGGAACGCAGCGUAAACCCUGGCAAACCAAGGUGCAAGGUCACUCCCGUUAAAUAGAAAAGUGAGGGGAGACUUAAUCGAUGGAGGACAGGCAGAGGGGAGUCUUGGCAGGGGUAAUGGCAGGUACGGGGAUGUGGCAAGCUUGGGGACAAGUGGAGAGUUUAUGGUGGCAAGGAUGUGGUGUGUGCUGCGGAGAAGGAGCAGAAGAGAGGCCGGGGUCUCCAGGCAGUAAGAGGUGGGCAGUUUGGAACAACUAGAACAGGAUGGCAGACACCUUGCAGCUGCCAGCCCUGGACCCAUGGCAGGAUCACUAAGUGACCAUCACACUCCUUCCCACUGAUUCAGCCUCACGGCCCUCCACACAGUGUUGGGGGGCGGGGAGGGGGCCAGUCACUGCCAGCGGAAAAGCUGGGCCCCAGAUGAAACCUAUUUGCCAUUGGAGGCUAAGCGGUGGAUACAAGUGUGGACUUUGCUGGAGAUGAGGCUGGAGUUCAAACUGAAAGAGACCUAGAAUGUGGGGGAAGGAGCUAGAAUGUUGUCUAGGUAUUAGGGAGCCAUCAGAGGGUGUUGGGGGGAGGGAUAUAACUAGACUAACAUUUCAGGAGUUGGUCUAAAUGAUCACUGCCAUUGGUGGAAGGACCUGGAAUGACAGGGUGAGAAUGGAUGGGGCUCUGACCGGAUGUGGAGCAGAGAUGUGGAGCAGAGACGUGGGGCUGAAGGCCGAGAAGAGGUUUUUCAUGGGGCAGGGAAAGAAGAGGCAGGCAGAUAGGCCUCUGGAGUCCUGGCCCCAGUGGGAAGACUGUUGGCAGGGAGGUGUAACAGCACAGCAGGAGGUCCUGAUAGGAAUCUUUGUUCCAGAGGCCGCCCUGAGACUCUGUGCCCCCAGGGGGAAGGAGGCCCAACAGGUCCGGUGGCUUUUACUGUGGAGAGCAUCAGAGCCUGGAGAAAUUCACCUUUAGAGGGAAACAAACCAUCAUGAAAUGCACCCCCCUCCCCCCCACUCAGGGCCCCUCCGCAGAGGAGAGGAGGUGGCCCUGGUACUGCUUAUAAUGUCUGGGGGUAACUGCAAGAGGGGGGCACUGACACGUCAUCCCUGAUUGGAUGUCUGCUUAGCCAUGGGCUGCCACCUGCCCCAGGGUCACCAGAAAGGGACAUGGGGGCACAGUGCCAGGGUAAGGGCCUUUGGUUUCUGGCUCCAGGGAGGCACAGUGGUUGAGUGGAGCCACCAGCUGUGGCCAGUUGAAGGAAGUGGAGGCUGCAGGCUCCCUGGAGUCUUCUCAGCCUAGGGCCAGGGUCUCAGCCCUGGGGGUGGGUGUGGGGAGCUCAGAGCACAGGGUGGCUUUGUCUGAGGAGGGGCCACCAGUGUCUGGGAGAGGGGCCAGGAAUUGAGUCCCUGGUCAGUGGAACCCUGGGGGCCUCCACCUGCUACCACCAGAUCUACAGGCGUUGAGCUAAUUCCACCACAGCCGUGACUCUCCAAAGGGGAACCACAGCCUGGCCAGGUGCCUCUAGAAGGACGACCAUUCCCUCUGUCUUCUCCCUUAACCCCAGCCCUGGGGUGAGCCCAGAGGAAGGGCGUGGAUGCAUGUGUGACAGAGACGACACAGGCACAUACGUGCACAUUAACACACUCAGGCCCCCAGAGCUCCCAGCUUGGCUCACCUUGUGGUGGAAGAAGAAAGUUUGGAAUCAAAUCUGAGCCUGAACGGUUUUUUUGGUUUUGGUUUUUUUGGCUGCUCGCAUGGCAUGUGGAAGUGCUCGGAAUAAGGAUUGAACCCACGUUGUAGCCGUGACCCAAGCCCCUACAGUGACAAUGCAGGAUCCUUAACCCACUGUACCACAAGAGAACGCCUGAGCCUAAAGUUUUACAAGGCCCAGGUCUUGGGAGUUCCUAUUGUGGCACAGAGGGUUAAGAAUCUGACUGCAGCGUCUGGAGUUGAGGCAUAACAUGGGUUUGAUCUCUGGUUUGGCGCAGUGGGUUAAAGGAUCUGGCGAGGCCACAGCUAUGGCACAGGUCACAGCUCUGGCUCAGAUUCAGCCCCUGGCUCAGAACGUCCUUAUGCAGAGGUGUGGCCAUUAAAAAAGUAAACUCCCAGAGCUUAACCAGAAUGAGACUGCUUUUAUAUCCAAAAGUGUCUAAACGUUAGAAACUGGACCAAAUACUGUCAAAGGUGCAGAACUCCCCUCUGGUGGAGGGGCUCACAGAGCCCAACUGGUAGCUGUUCUUCGAAAAAUAAAGCUGUGCCCAAAUUGUAACCCAGUGAAUGACCCGAAGGUCUUUAAUGAGCCGUUUCCAAGGGGAACACAGAAAGGGGAUGGGAUUUGAAGGGGAAAGAUGAUCAGAGACCGGGAUGGAACGAAGCUUUAUUGAAUGAAUUAGGCAGAGGGGUCCGGGAAGGUCGGACAACUGUCUGUCCACCCCCUGCAAGGUCUGGGAGCGCUGUCCCUAUGGGAAUCGUGGGGUCACUCUGUCAGUGGUUGGGCUUCUGCCCUCAACCCAAUGCUGAGCCCCCUCUAGGUUGGUUUCAGACUUGAGGAGACCUCUCCCUCCAAGGCCGGGCCUGAAUCUCAGGAUCCCUUAACCUUAAGUGGGCCCCGUGGGCCAGGCCUGAAACCAGGGAGGUGACCUUCCAGAGAGGAAGGGGCCAGCAGCCAGAGCUUGGUCCUCGCUUAGCCUGUCACCCCUGGGGCCAGGGCGGGAAGACAGCAGAGGGAAGAGGAGGAGGAGAGCUUUGGCCAAGGGUGGGGUCGGAUUCCCCCAGGUCCGGCUCCCUUGUGAGAGGUGGCGGGUAAGGAAAGAACGUGUGAACGAGGGAGUCUUGCCCCCAGUGCCUAGCGCUGCAGAGAGGGGUUCGGUUCGUGUCGGGGUGUCUGAGGGUGAGGGGUCUGGGGUGAUCCAGGGGGAUGGGUGUGAGGUCGGGGGCCCUCAGGAGAAGGACAUCUGGAUGUCAUCAGAGUCGAGCAGACGUGCAGCCUUGGAGCCAAAGCAGAGAGCACGAAGAGGCGGCGAGGAGAAGGGAGCCUCGGAGGAGCCUGUAUUUGGAGGCGGGAGGAAAAGCUGCAGGAACUGGCCCAAGAGCUCCGCAGCCGCCAGAUCCUGGCCGGCCUCCGGGCCCUGCUGGCAGCUGACAAGAUGCAUCUCUCAACUGCUCUGGAAAACCUAAUGGCCUUGAGUCUGCCCAGGUGGGCAGCGGGACAAAUGUACCUCCCCGCUUCCUGCACCCCCUCCUCGGGCUCUGGCGGCUGCUCAGGGCCGCCUCUGAGACCGCCCCACCCUGGCCAGCGGCACCCUCCUCCCUCUUGGGGCUCAGCGUUCCAGACUUUCUCCUCAUCAGAGUUUACCAGGCAGGUCUGAUUCUCUCUCCCGAGUCCCCCGCCAAGUUCUGCCUGGCUCCCUGCCCCUCUCUCUCCUCUUCUUAGAGCAGGAGCCAGUUGAGGCCUGCGAUGAGCCUCGAGCCAGGCCCGGGGACCCUUCCCACCCAAGGCAACGAAGCCAGCCCACUGCCGCUCAGAAGUCCCUCUGCUUGAGGAGUUCCUGUUGUGGUGCAGUGGAAAUGAACCCGACUAGUAUCCAUGAGGACGCAGGUUCGAUCCCUGGCCUCACUCAGUGUGUCAGGCAGAACAAUUCAACCUUUCCAGGCCCAAUCCCAAAUCCUGCCCAACUUUGCACAGUCCAGCCUGGGAAGGCGCAGACACAGAAAGGACCCGUCUUUGAACAGAACUGGCCUUCCUUCCAGGGCAGCCAGCUGACAUUGACCAUGGGCUCCCUCACAGAUCAAAGUGCUAUUUUCAGAACAACGGGGAAAGAAUGCCAAAUACACCCCUCCCAAAAAAAAAACCAUGGAAUUAAGGGAAUUUCUGUUUUACAAGCCACCUGAGUCCUGACUAACUGGCUCCAACAUGUCCUUCCAUGGCGACAUCUGAGUUUUGUCAAGACCCUACUACAUGGAAUCGUAGGAGGUGGGGGAGUUCCAGGGGGAGAAGCAGGUAAGUAAGGAGGGCAUCGUGGAAGAGGUGGCCCUGCUCAGAGGACGGACAGCAAGAACCCCUCAAGGCUGUAAUUAAGAAGACACAUAAUUGCAAGUGUUGGCAAGGAUCUGGAGAACUUGGCGCCCUCAUACCCUGCUGGUGGGAAUAUAAAAUGGCACAGAAAACAGUCUGGCACAUCCUCAAAAAGUUAAGGAGUUCCCGUCAUGGCGUAGGGGUUAACAAAUCCGACUAGGAACCACGAGGUUGCGGGUUCAAUCCCUGGCCUCGCUCAGUGGGUUAAGGAUCCAGCGUUGCUGUGAGCUGUGGUGUGGGUCGCAGACGUGGCUCGGAUCCUCUGUUGCUGUGGCUCUGGCGUAGGCCGGUGGCUACAGCUCCGAUGAGAACCCUAGCCUGGGAAUCUCCAUAUGCCAUGGGUGCGGCCCUAGAAAAGGCAAAAAGACAAAAAAAAUGCAAAAAAAAAAAAAAGU
rnacentral:lncRNA from 9 species